GUAUCUUUUGCGUAGUGGUCACUGCGCUCGCCUUGCACGCGGGAGACCCGGGUUCCAUUCCCGGCGGGGUCA
rnacentral:tRNA from 1 species